UACGUAGGGCGCGAGCGUUGUCCGGAAUUAUUGGGCGUAAAGAGCUCGUAGGCGGCCUGUUGCGUCCGCUGUGAAAUCCCAGGGCUCAACCCUGAGCGUGCUUCCGAUACGGGCAGACUAGAGGUAUGCAGGGGAGAACGGAAUUCCUGGUGUAGCGGUGAAAUGCGCAGAUAUCAGGAGGAACACCGGUGGCGAAGGCGGAUCUCUGGGCCAUUACUGACGCUGAGGAGCGAAAGCGUGGGGAGCGAACAGG
rnacentral:rRNA from 1 species